rnacentral:rRNA from 1 species
GACGAACGCUGGCGGCGUGCUUAACACAUGCAAGUCGAACGGAAAGGCCCUGCUUUUGUGGGGUGCUCGAGUGGCGAACGGGUGAGUAACACGUGAGUAACCUGCCCUUGACUUUGGGAUAACUUCAGGAAACUGGGGCUAAUACCGGAUAGGAGCUCCUGCUGCAUGGUGGGGGUUGGAAAGUUUCGGCGGUUGGGGAUGGACUCGCGGCUUAUCAGCUUGUUGGUGGGGUAGUGGCUUACCAAGGCUUUGACGGGUAGCCGGCCUGAGAGGGUGACCGGCGACAUUGGGACUGAGAUACGGCCCAGACUCCUACGGGAGGAAGCAGUGGGGAAUAUUGCACAAUGGGCGGAAGCCUGAUGCAGCAACGCCGCGUGCGGGAUGACGGCCUUCGGGUUGUAAACCGAUUUCGCCUGUGACGAAGCGUGAGUGACGGUAAUGGGUAAAGAAGCACCGGCUAACUACGUG